AGAGUUUGAUCAUGGCUCAGAUUGAACGCUGGCGGCAGGCCUAACACAUGCAAGUCGAGCGGCAGCACGGGUACUUGUACCUGGUGGCGAGCGGCGGACGGGUGAGUAAUGCCUAGGAAUCUGCCUAGUAGUGGGGGAUAACGUCCGGAAACGGGCGCUAAUACCGCAUACGUCCUACGGGAGAAAGUGGGGGAUCUUCGGACCUCACGCUAUUAGAUGAGCCUAGGUCGGAUUAGCUAGUUGGUGAGGUAAUGGCUCACCAAGGCGACGAUCCGUAACUGGUCUGAGAGGAUGAUCAGUCACACUGGAACUGAGACACGGUCCAGACUCCUACGGGAGGCAGCAGUGGGGAAUAUUGCGCAAUGGGGGGAACCCUGACGCAGCCAUGCCGCGUGAAUGAAGAAGGCCUUCGGGUUGUAAAGUUCUUUCGGUAUUGAGGAAGGAGUGUAUGUUAAUAGCAUACAUUAUUGACGUUAAAUACAGAAGAAGCACCGGCUAACUCCGUGCCAGCAGCCGCGGUAAUACGGAGGGUGCGAGCGUUAAUCGGAAUAACUGGGCGUAAAGGGCACGCAGGCGGUUAUUUAAGUGAGGUGUGAAAGCCCCGGGCUUAACCUGGGAAUUGCAUUUCAGACUGGGUAACUAGAGUACUUUAGGGAGGGGUAGAAUUCCACGUGUAGCGGUGAAAUGCGUAGAGAUGUGGAGGAAUACCGAAGGCGAAGGCAGCCCCUUGGGAAUGUACUGACGCUCAUGUGCGAAAGCGUGGGGAGCAAACAGGAUUAGAUACCCUGGUAGUCCACGCUGUAAACGCUGUCGAUUUGGGGAUUGGGCUUAAAGUUUGGUGCCCGUAGCUAACGUGAUAAAUCGACCGCCUGGGGAGUACGGCCGCAAGGUUAAAACUCAAAUGAAUUGACGGGGGCCCGCACAAGCGGUGGAGCAUGUGGUUUAAUUCGAUGCAACGCGAAGAACCUUACCUACUCUUGACAUCCAGAGAACUUUCCAGAGAUGGAUUGGUGCCUUCGGGAACUCUGAGACAGGUGCUGCAUGGCUG
rnacentral:rRNA from 1 species